CGAUAUGUGUACGGGGUCAGAUCACAUUUUGAGCGUUUUGAUUGGACAAGUGAAAUGUAGGCGGGUCAGAUCAGAUCUCGAGUGUGUUGAAUGGACAGGUGGUGUGUGGGCGGGGUCAGAUCAGAUCUUGAGCGUGUUGAUUGGACAGGUGGGGUGUGGGCGGGGUUAGAUCAGAUCUCGAGUGUGUUGAUUGGACAGGUGGUGUGUGGGUGGGGUCAGAUCAGAUCUUGAGCGUGUUGAUUGGACAGGUGGUGUGUGGGCGGGGUCAGAUCAGCUCUCAAGCAUGUUGAUUGGACAGGUGGAAUGUAGGCGGGUCAUAUCUCGAGUGUGUUGAUUGGACAGGUGGUGUGUGGGCGGGGUCAGAUCAGAUCUCAAGUGUGUUGAUUGGACAGGUGGUGUGUGGGCGGGGUCAGAUCAGAUCUUGACUGUGUUGAUUGGACAUGUGGUGUGUGGGUGGGGUCAGAUCAGAUCUCAAGCGUGUUGAUUGGACAGGUGGUGUGUGGGCGGGGUCAGAUCAGAUCUUGAGCGUGUUGAUUGGACAGGUGGGGUGUGGGCGGGGUCAGAUCAGAUCUUGAGCGUGUUGAUUGGACAGGUGGUGUGUGGGUGGGGUCAGAUCAGAUCUUGAGCGUGUUGAUUGGACAGGUGGAAUGUAGGCGGAUCAUAUCUCGAGUGUGUUGAUUGGACAGGUGG